rnacentral:ncRNA from 2 species
AUAAACCUUCAGGGUUAGGUGCAAUUCCUUACCGGCGGUAUGGCGCUUUCAGCCGAGCCCGCGAGCCCGUAAGGGCAGAUCUGGUGAGAAGCCAGAGCCGACAGUUAAAGUCUGGAUGGGAGAAGGUUGAU